UGCUCAGUAACGGCGAGUGAAGCGGCAAGAGCUCAAAUUUGAAACUGGCUCCUUCGGAGUCCGCAUUGUAAUUUGCAGAGGAUGCUUUGGGUGCGGCCCCCGUCUAAGUGCCCUGGAACGGGCCGUCAGAGAGGGUGAGAAUCCCGUCUUGGGCGGGGUGUCCGUGCCCGUGUAAAGCUCCUUCGACGAGUCGAGUUGUUUGGGAAUGCAGCUCUAAAUGGGUGGUAAAUUUCAUCUAAAGCUAAAUACUGGCCGGAGACCGAUAGCGCACAAGUAGAGUGAUCGAAAGAUGAAAAGCACUUUGAAAAGAGAGUUAAACAGCACGUGAAAUUGUUGAAAGGGAAGCGCUUGCGACCAGACUCGCCCGCGGGGUUCAGCCGGCAUUCGUGCCGGUGUACUUCCCCGUGGGCGGGCCAGCGUCGGUUUGGGCGGCCGGUCAAAGGCCCCUGGAAUGUAGUGCCCUCCGGGGCACCUUAUAGCCAGGGGUGCAAUGCGGCCAGCCUGGACCGAGGAACGCGCUUCGGCACGGACGCUGGCAUAAUGGUCGUAAACGACCCGUCUACAA
rnacentral:rRNA from 1 species